ACUUGGAUCAAUUGACCACUGGUUACAGCAGAUUAAUGUGAUUAACAUCUUCCAUUUCCUUACAUUUUCCAUGCUGGAAAUCAGAAACAAAAACAAGAAUACUGGAGAUACUCAGCAGGCCAGUGUCUGAAGAGAAAGAAAGUGUUAACAGGCCAAAUUUUCCAGAUGAUUGGAGACUGGAUAUAUGACUGAAGAUGUGCGUCAGAAACAUGUGGAAACCUGGACUUGGGCAUCACUCAGGCAGUUGUAACUUGUGACAAGUUUGCUGUUAGCUUUCGAUAGUUCCAUGUUUGGAUUGUUACCCAGGAAAUGUUGAUUGAUUAAGACCUAGUUUAUUAACUGGAUAACUCAAAACUGACCUCCAAAUCAUCCUCUAAUCCUCAAUUGCCUCUUGACCCGACAACUACAUGAAGCAAAAAGACUAAUCCAAAUGACCUGAUUACCCCCAAACUAACUGGAUUACAUCUGACCCAACCAAAACACCCUACGGCCAUUGGUUACCUUCCACAACCAGACCUGAUUAACCAGUCUCAAACUGACUACACCUCUGAAACAUUAGACUACCUGAUUAACUCUGAAUUAUCCCAUUAUCAUCCCAAUUGCCUGACCAUGCCCUUGACCUGAUCUCAAUCUCACCUUCAACUCACCUAAUGAUUCUCUCCUCCUUUCAUCUGCCCUUUCACCCUUGUCCCAAGUUUGGACUGUUAAUCUUCCCAUACUGCAACAAAAAGCCAUACAAAGUGUUUGUGUCCUGUCUUAUUCUAAUUCUACUCCAUUCUGAAGGAGCUCCCCAAAGGAUGCUAUCCUGUGAAUUUCUGGAAAAGCUGGAAUUAAUGGAACCCAGUGGAAAUUCACAGCAGCAACAAGAAGUUGAACUUAUAACAAUAGCAAUUUCUUAUUAUUCUUGCCAUUUAAGCCUUGAAUUGUCAGCCAACAGCCCUGAAUUAUUACCAUUUAUCUGAUUGUGAGAAACUUCAAACAGGUCCAAAUAUCUUUUGUUGGGUGUGAUCACCAACAAAUGCUAUGUCAACUUGACUCAUGUGAUGGAAUCCUACCAAGGGGUCUGAAGUUG